UCCAGCCAUGCCGCGUGUGUGAAGAAGGCCCUCGGGUUGUAAAGCACUUUCAGCGAGGAAGAACGCCUAGUGGUUAAUACCCAUUAGGAAAGACAUCACUCGCAGAAGAAGCACCGGCUAACUCCGUGCCAGCAGCCGCGGUAAUACGGAGGGUGCAAGCGUUAAUCGGAAUUACUGGGCGUAAAGCGCGCGUAGGUGGCUUGAUAAGCCGGUUGUGAAAGCCCCGGGCUCAACCUGGGAACGGCAUCCGGAACUGUCAAGCUAGAGUGCAGGAGAGGAAGGUAGAAUUCCCGGUGUAGCGGUGAAAUGCGUAGAGAUCGGGAGGAAUACCAGUGGCGAAGGCGGCCUUCUGGACUGACACUGACACUGAGGUGCGAAAGCGUGGGUAGCAAACAGGAUUAGAUACCCUGGUAGUCCACGCCGUAAACGAUGUCGACCAGCCGUUGGGUGCCUAGCGCACUUUGUGGCGAAGUUAACGCGAUAAGUCGACCGCCUGGGGAGUACGGCCGCAAGGUUAAAACUCAAAUGAAUUGACGGGGGCCCGCACAAGCGGUGGAGCAUGUGGUUUAAUUCGAUGCAACGCGAAGAACCUUACCUACUCUUGACAUCCUGCGAACUUGUGAGAGAUCACUUGGUGCCUUCGGGAACGCAGAGACAGGUGCUGCAUGGCUGUCGUCAGCUCGUGUUGUGAAAUGUUGGGUUAAGUCCCGUAACGAGCGCAACCCUUGUCCUUAUUUGCCAGCGCGUAAUG
rnacentral:rRNA from 1 species